rnacentral:tRNA from 1 species
GUGGGGGUGCCGGAGUGGUCAAACGGGCGAGACUUAAGUCUAUUUUAAAAAAUGGAAGAAAUCUCGUGGCUUAGUGCCUACGAGGGUUCGAAUCCUUCCCCCCACA